rnacentral:rRNA from 1 species
UACAGAGGUCUCAAGCGUUGUUCGGAUUCAUUGGGCGUAAAGGGUGCGUAGGUGGCGCUGUAAGUCGGGUGUGAAAUUUCGGAGCUUAACUCCGAAACUGCAUUCGAUACUGCGGUGCUUGAGGACUGGAGAGGAGACUGGAAUUCCUGGUGUAGCGGUGAAAUGCGCAGAUAUCAGGAGGAACACCGGUGGCGAAGGCGGGUCUCUGGGCAACAACUGACGCUGAGGAGCGAAAGCGUGGGGAGCGAACAGG